rnacentral:rRNA from 1 species
UACGUAGGGUGCAAGCGUUGUCCGGAAUUAUUGGGCGUAAAGAGCUCGUAGGCGGUUUGUCGCGUCUGCUGUGAAAACUCGGGGCUUAACUCCGGGCCUGCAGUGGGUACGGGCAGACUAGAGUGCGGUAGGGGAGACUGGAAUUCCUGGUGUAGCGGUGAAAUGCGCAGAUAUCAGGAGGAACACCCGUGGCGAAGGCGGUUCUCUGGGACGGUACUGACGCUGAGACGCGAAAGCGUGGGGAGCGAACAGG